UGAUCAUAUAUGAUCAAAAAA
ensembl:piRNA 21ur-5519 ncRNA